GGCGGCCCAGUAUCAGGACCCGGUUAAGCUAAAAGCUCACCUGUGCCUUUCGUCCGGUUGAUUAACACACCUGAGGCCAGCUGAUUGGGUUUUCCCGUUGAAUGCGGACUGGUGGUCUUGCUUUCCCACAUGGAGCUGUGGGAAGUCUUGAGAUUUGGGACAAAGGAGGCCUACAACUCUGCCUGGAUUACCUCAUGCCUUUGGUCCCUGAAGUGGCCCGUCCGUCUCUCUGGCCCCUCUUCAGGAACAAGUAAGGAAGGAAGGAGAUUACAACUCAUAAAAAACAAUGACUUAGUUCAGCUGGUAUUACAACCCAACCUCCUCACCAAACCGGCCGAUUGAGGAGGACAGAAGAAAAUCCGGAGGCUGAAACUAUUUCUCUAAUGCAAAGACGGGAUUCCCCACUUUCCUGAAUGUUAUAAUUGAAUGCAAAUAAAGAUAUAUUCUGCGUU
ensembl:lncRNA